AGGGAUCAUUGCUGGAACGCGCCCCAGGCGCACCCAGAAACCCUUUGUGAACUUAUACCUUACUGUUGCCUCGGCGCAUGCCGGCCCCCCUGGGGGCCCCUCCUUCGGGAGGAGCAGGCACGCCGGCGGCCAACCUAACUCUUGUUUUUACACUGAAACUCUGAGAAUAAAACAUAAAUGAAUCAAAACUUUCAACAACGGAUCUCUUGGUUCUGGCAUCGAUGAAGAACGCAGCGAAAUGCGAUAAGUAAUGUGAAUUGCAGAAUUCAGUGAAUCAUCGAAUCUUUGAACGCACAUUGCGCCCUCUGGUAUUCCGGAGGGCAUGCCUGUUCGAGCGUCAUUUCAACCCUCAAGCCUGGCUUGGUGAUGGGGCACUGCUUUUACCCAAAAGCAGGCCCUGAAAUUCAGUGGCGAGCUCGCCAGGACCCCGAGCGCAGUAGUUAAACCCUCGCUCUGGAAGGCCCUGGCGGUGCCCUGCCGUUAAACCCCCAACUUCUGAAAAUUUGACCUCGGAUCAGGUAGGAAUACCCGCUGAACUUAA
rnacentral:misc_RNA from 1 species